rnacentral:rRNA from 1 species
GAUGAACGCUGGCGGCGUGCCUAAUACAUGCAAGUCGAGCGAACAGACGAGGAGCUUGCUCCUCUGACGUUAGCGGCGGACGGGUGAGUAACACGUGGAUAACCUACCUAUAAGACUGGGAUAACUUCGGGAAACCGGAGCUAAUACCGGAUAAUAUAUUGAACCGCAUGGUUCAAUAGUGAAAGACGGUUUUGCUGUCACUUAUAGAUGGAUCCGCGCCGCAUUAGCUAGUUGGUAAGGUAACGGCUUACCAAGGCGACGAUGCGUAGCCGACCUGAGAGGGUGAUCGGCCACACUGGAGCUGAGACACGGUCCAGACUCCUACGGGAGGCAGCAGUAGGGAAUCGUCCGCAAUGGGCGAAAGCCUGACGGAGCAACGCCGCGUGAGUGAUGAAGGUCUUCGGAUCGUAAAACUCUGUUAUUAGGGAAGAACAAAUGUGUAAGUAACUAUGCACGUCUUGACGGUACCUAAUCAGAAAGCCACGGCUAACUACGUG